GACGAACGCUGGCGGCGUGCUUAACACAUGCAAGUCGAGCGGUAAGGCCCUUUCGGGGGUACACGAGCGGCGAACGGGUGAGUAACACGUGGGUGACCUGCCCUCAGCUCUGGGAUAAGCCUGGGAAACCGGGUCUAAUACCGGAUAUGACUCCAUGACGCAUGUUGUGGGGUGGAAAGCCUUGUGCGGCUGAGGAUGGGCCCGCGGCCUAUCAGCUUGUUGGUGGGGUGAUGGCCUACCAAGGCGACGACGAGUAGCCGGCCUGAGAGGGCGACCGGCCACACUGGGACUGAGACACGGCCCAGACUCCUACGGGAGGCAGCAGUGGGGAAUCUUGCGCAAUGGGCGAAAGCCUGACGCAGCGACGCCGCGUGAGGGAUGACGGCCUCGG
rnacentral:rRNA from 1 species